rnacentral:rRNA from 1 species
UACGUAGGGUGCGAGCGUUAAUCGGAAUUACUGGGCGUAAAGCGUGCGCAGGCGGUGAUGUAAGACAGAUGUGAAAUCCCCGGGCUCAACCUGGGAACUGCAUUGUGACUGCAUUGCUGGAGUGCGGCAGAGGGGGAUGGAAUUCCGCGUGUAGCAGUGAAAUGCGUAGAUAUGCGGAGGAACACCGAUGGCGAAGGCAAUCCCCUGGGCCUGCACUGACGCUCAUGCACGAAAGCGUGGGGAGCAAACAGG